ACCACGUGCUCAGGGUCUGGCCAAUGACCAGGCUGCCCAGGAUGAGCUAAUAAUGGAAGCAAUUUGUAACUUUCAGUAGCUCUCUAGGCCUGGGUACCAGUGGGAGGGAGGCGGGCGGAGUGGGGAUCUGGGUACCCCCAGUACUUCUACGGUCCUUAUUUGUCUAGGGGCACUCUGGUCCCCUGGUCCUUCUUUCCCCUAACGUGCAGGCACUAGCAGGGACCUUCAUCUACUCCUAUCUAGCCGCUGUCACACCAGAGCAAGGAAAAAGAACACAGAAUUUAUUACCUGCUUAAGGUAUGGGAGUAUUAUACUCACAAUGCACUUCCAUGCUGCACACUUUCUGAAUGGGAAGAGAAGAGGAAGAAGAUGGUGCAGGCACAGGUGAGCCCUUGAGUAAGGCCGCCAGGGGUCCACGAAAGUCCCUCUCUCCUGGUUGGCAAGGACCUUCUGCUUCCCAGCCAACACUGUUGCCAGGUGUGGCCAGCUGAGACUGAGAUACAAGUGGUGUCAUCAGAGCCUGAGGACCCUGGUGAGUUCUUUGGGAUCUCUUUUUCAUGAGCUGGACAGAAGGGCCUGCGCCUGAGGUUUGACGAGGCCAUUGAGAAGAAACCCCUAAGAGAGGGAAAGGCAAUGGCAUGAAAGGAAACAGUCCUCCACUGAGCAGGUAGAGCAGACUGACUGCACCAGGCUGCGCCCUCCGACUGUGAUGUGGUGGAUGUGAGAAUAAACUGGUUUCUAUACGCUA